AUUGAACGCUGGCGGCAGGCCUAACACAUGCAAGUCGAACGAGUGGCGGACGGGUGAGUAAUGUCUGGGAAUCUGCCUGAUGGAGGGGGAUAACUACUGGAAACGGUCGCUAAUACCGCAUACCCUCGGAUGUGCCCAGAUGGGCUUAGCUAGUUGGUGGGGUAAAGGCUCACCUAGGCGACGAUCCCUAGCUGGUCUGAGAGGAUGACAAGACAACAUGGGACUGAGACACGGUCCAGACUCCUACGGGAGGCAGCAGUGGGGAAUAGGGCACAAGGGGCGCAAGCCGGAUGCAGCCAUGCCGCGUGAAUGAAGAAGGCCUUCGGGUUGUAAAGGACUUUCAGCGGCGAGGCGUUACCCGCAGAAGAAGCACCGGCUAACUCCGUGCCAGCAGCCGCGGUAAUAC
rnacentral:rRNA from 1 species